GAAAUCUAAAAAUGAAAAACAUGCUAAGGAUACGUAUGCUCACUAAUUAGCAAUUUUUAUAUAAAUCCGUUGGUUUUCCUUUGGUCAAAGAAAAAGCAUUUAUAACAUGUUUGCUUACAAUUUUAAAAUUGAUGAUAGGACUAACACUUGAUUCUUUACACUAAUUAGGAAUUUUUUAAGAAGGAGCAAAAUUUCUUGAAACCA